AGACGCUGGCGGCGUGCUUAACACAUGCAAGUCGCACGAGAAGCCUUGAGCUUGCUUAAGGGCGAGUAAAGUGGCGCACGGGUGAGUAACGCGUGGAUAAUCCUGCCUUCCGAGUUUGGGAUAACACUUCGAAAGGGGUGCUAAUACCGGAUAAUAUUCAUUUUACUUCGGUGGGAUGGAUCAAAGGUGGCCUCUGCAUGCAAGCUACUGCUUGGAGAUGAGUCCGCGUACCAUUAGCUUGUUGGUGGGGUAAAGGCCCACCAAGGCGACGAUGGUUAGCUGGUCUGAGAGGAUGAUCAGCCACACUGGCACUGACACACGGGCCAGACUCCUACGGGAGGCAGCAGUGAGGAAUUUUGCGCAAUGGGGGAAACCCUGACGCAGCAACGCCGCGUGAGUGAUGAAGGCCUUCGGGUCGUAAAGCUCUGUCAAGUGGGAAGAACCCUUGCAACCGGACAAUGGUUGUGAGCUGACGGUACCACUGAAGGAAGCACCGGCUAACUCCGUGCCAGCAGCCGCGGUAAUACGGAGGGUGCAAGCGUUAUUCGGAAUUACUGGGCGUAAAGGGCGCGCAGGCGGCCAUGUAAGUCAGUUGUGAAAGCCCGGGGCUCAACCCCGGNAAGUGCGACUGAAACUGUGUGGCUUGAGUAUGGUANAAGGGAAGUGGAAUUCCUGGGUGUAGCGGUGAAAUUCGUAGAUAUCAGGAGGAACACCCGGAAGGCGAAGGCGACUUCCUGGACCAAUACUGGACGCUGAAGGUGCGAANGCGUGGGUAGCAAACAGGAUUAGAUACCCUGGUAGUCCCCGCAGUAACG
rnacentral:rRNA from 1 species